AAGGCUUUAGCUUAAUUAAAGCAACUAUUUUGCAUGUAGAAGAUGUGGACUAAUAUUCUGCAAGUCUUA
rnacentral:tRNA from 1 species